rnacentral:rRNA from 1 species
CCUACGGGGGGCUGCAGUGGGGAAUAUUGGGCAAUGGACGCAAGUCUGACCCAGCCAUGCCGCGUGAGUGAUGAAGGCCUUAGGGUUGUAAAGCUCUUUUAUCCGGGAAGAUGAAGACGGUACCGGAAGAAUAAGCCCCGGCUAACUUCGUGCCAGCAGCCGCGGUAAUACGAAGGGGGCAAGCGUUGUUCGGAAUCACUGGGCGUAAAGCGCGCGUAGGUGGCGAUGCAAGUCAGGGGUGAAAUCCCGGGGCUCAACCUCGGAAUUGCCUUUGA